UACAGAGGGUGCAAGCGUUAGUCGGAAUUACUGGGCGUAAAGCGCGCGUAGGUGGUUUGUUAAGUUGGAUGUGAAAUCCCCGGGCUCAACCUGGGAACUGCAUUCAAAACUGACAAGCUAGAGUAUGGUAGAGGGUGGUGGAAUUUCCUGUGUAGCGGUGAAAUGCGUAGAUAUAGGAAGGAACACCAGUGGCGAAGGCGACCACCUGGACUGAUACUGACACUGAGGAGCGAAAGCUGGGGAGCAAACAGG
rnacentral:rRNA from 1 species